rnacentral:rRNA from 1 species
UACGUAGGGUGCAAGCGUUGUCCGGAAUUAUUGGGCGUAAAGCGCGUGUAGGCGGCUUUGCAAGUCGGGUGUGAAAGCCCUCGGCUCAACCGAGGAAGUGCGCCCGAAACUGCAGAGCUUGAGUACCGGAGAGGGUGGCGGAAUUCCCCAAGUAGAGGUGAAAUUCGUAGAUAUGGGGAGGAACACCGGUGGCGAAGGCGGCCACCUGGACGGAAUACUGACGCUGAGACGCGAAAGCGUGGGGAGCAAACAGG